ensembl:lncRNA
CUUGCUUACAAAACAAACAAACAAAACAAAACAAAACAACAACAACAACAAAAAACCAUGAGCUGUCAAUGUCCAAGUAUUAAUGUCUGCAUGUGUCACAUUCGAAUUCCAGUCGUAGCUGACUCUUACGUCACGUGUUCGCGAAGAAUUUUCUAAUCAACUGUUACGUCUUUGAAUCAAUCCGUCUAUAUAUUAGCAAGCAAUCAAUUUCAAAAACUUCUAGCAAGCAAUUUUGACAGAGACUGAUCAACAUAUUCUGUACGAAAAUGUCAGAAGUCAUAAAUUUAUUUGAACUUCUAAAGCAGUGCGACGACACUUACGAUAAGCUGUUCACUCUGCUGUACAGUAUCCUCUGUAUGCUGGAGCGCCUUGAAGCCGAGAGAGAGGCAGCGGAUGGAAGGAAAGCGGACGUUGGCCACGAUGUCGCUGAGUCGCAGCCGGAUGAGAAAAGCUCGAGUGUUGAUGAGCAGAAGACGGCGUUGGAGAAACUGUCCAGCGGUACAGAGCUGCUGAGCCUCUCCACCUCGGACAGGAGCGGACAAGUGGAGGACAGCGAGGAAGGAGUGUCCAAGUGUCUCAUUCAAGACUUGGUAAACAAGAAUCAGGAGCUCAAGGAGGAGAUAUACAGCCUGAAGAAAGAAGUGGAGACGCUUAAAAAUCAGCUUAGUCAGGUGACCACAUACAUAUACUUCACUCCUUUUUAUCAAUUACAUCCAACAUGGUCAAAAUCAGAAUAUCAUUUCAUACUGCAAUCAAUUAAUGUACACAGAAUGUAAACACAGAAUAUAACACAGUUCAGUCACAUGAUAGUAGAACGCAAAAAAACUGAAUCAGUUCAUCUUGUUUUUUCUGUGCGUGACUUUGGAACACGUGCAGAUCUUGCUAAACCAACAAGAUCGUCUGGUCUUUGUAUCUGGUGGAGCCCUACACCAGCUAACUGGCCAGGCCCAGUCCCAGGUCAGCAGGGAGGUUGAGCAUGUCCCAG